GUCACGUACAGGUCCCUCUAUGUGCGCAGACAGAAUACAACCCCGAUUAUCCUGCCCGACAGCUGAACGCCUAUGUGCGCUGCCCUCUCAUCUCCCAUGCAGCAGCGAUCUGUACUUGGCUUCAGAUAAGCUACGCUGAUGGAGCCGCAACGAUCGGGAACGACUUCAAUGAGCGAUUGGUUAAAUGUCCCUGGCGUUAAUUCACAGAAGAGAGACUGGUGAAGGGCAUCUGCCCGGAACGUUGCUACUUCAUGUAAACAGCACAUUGGUUUAUCUUCACAUCAUGGAGCAAUAAAU